UCCUCCCUCUGGCGGCGUGCUUAACACAUGCAAGUCGAACGGAAAGGCCCUGCUUUUGUGGGGUGCUCGAGUGGCGAACGGGUGAGUAACACGUGAGUAACCUGCCCUUGACUUUGGGAUAACUUCAGGAAACUGGGGCUAAUACCGGAUAGGAGCUCCUGCUGCAUGGUGGGGGUUGGAAAGUUUCGGCGGUUGGGGAUGGACUCGCGGCUUAUCAGCUUGUUGGUGGGGUAGUGGCUUACCAAGGCUUUGACGGGUAGCCGGCCUGAGAGGGUGACCGGCCACAUUGGGACUGAGAUACGGCCGAGACUCCUCCGGGAGGCAGCAGUGGGGAAUAUUGCACAAUGGGCGGAAGCCUGAUGCAGCAACGCCGCGUGCGGGAUGACGGCCUUCGGUUUGUAAACCGCUUUCGCCUGUGACGAAGCGUGAGUGACGGUAAUGGGUAAAGAAGCACGGGCUAACUACGUG
rnacentral:rRNA from 1 species